rnacentral:rRNA from 1 species
AGUGGCGGACGGGUGAGUAACGCGUGAGAAUCUGCCUUCAGGAUGGGGACAACGACUGGAAACGGUCGCUAAUACCCGAUGUGCCGAGAGGUGAAAGUAAUUCGCCUGAAGAUGAGCUCGCGUCAGAUUAGCUAGUUGGAGUGGUAGCGGCACACCAAGGCGACGAUCUGUAGCUGGUCUGAGAGGAUGACCAGCCACACUGGAACUGAGACACGGUCCAGACUCCCACGGGAGGCAGCAGUGGGGAAUUUUCCGCAAUGGGCGAAAGCCUGACGGAGCAAGACCGCGUGGGGGAUGAAGGUUUGUGGAUUGUAAACCCCUUUUGACAGGGAAGAUGAUGACGGUACCUGUCGAAUCAGCAUCGGCUAACUCCGUGCCAGCAGCCGCGGUAAUACGGAGGAUGCAAGCGUUAUCCGGAAUUAUUGGGCGUAAAGCGUCCGUAGGUGGCCAACCAAGUCUGCUGUCAAAGCGCGAGGCUUAACUUCGUAAGGGCAGUGGAAACUGGGGGGCUAGAGUAUGGUAGGGGUCGAGGGAAUUCCCAGUGUAGCGGUGAAAUGCGUAGAUAUUGGGAAGAACACCGGUGGCGAAAGCGCUCGGCUGGACCAUAACUGACACUGAGGGACGAAAGCCAGGGGAGCGAAAGGGAUUAGAUACCCCUGUAGUCCUGGCUGUAAACGAUGGAUACUAGGUGUUG